AGCUCUUGCAUUUGUGGGUCCCUCUUCAGUGUAAAGCAAGCGAGAUUCUCUGCUGAGAUCCUUGUGACUCAUCUAAUAGCGCUGGUGAGAAAUGCUGGCUAGUCCAACAGCCAGCCCCAACACUGCUGUGCGUGUUGCUCAUGCUGAGGGACUUCCCUGCACUUCCUAUUCUCUGCGUAACAGAUCUGAUAUGCUGGCUUCUCAGCAGCCUCGGUGCCCGAAGUAGCACGUUGAACACUUCAGAGAGGAGUGGAUGUGAACUGCCCUAUGGAUAACAUCUUGGGUUCCUCUGCACAUACGUAGAAUAAACAAAACAGAAGCCCUGAAGUCGCAGAAUAAAGUGCUCUGAAAGGCAGAAAGAAUACAGUAUACACAGCUGGAGUUGUUUUGGAAGCUGUAUCCAUCCAGGGUUGAAAGGAAGAUGGGGAUAUAAUUCAGCAGUUACUUCUGGAGCAGCUGUUGUUCAUCUGGCUGACGGAGGGACCAGGAAAAAAGGUAUUUUCUUGUUUUCUUCUCAGAGGAAAGUGCAUUUUCAAGUUAGAUGUGUUUUUUUCCCCUCCUCUAGCUUAAUAAAACAUACAUGCGCAUCCAGACUUCAUGUGGAGAAUUGCUGGACAGACAAAAUAGUUAAAAAAAAAAAAAAAAAAGAUUAAGUAGUGUAACUAGUCUGCUGUAACAUGAAAGAAAGAUAGUGUAGUUGUUUAUUCAAGUGUGAGGUUCCUGAGGUGUAUUUAAGAAACAACAACAACGAAAAACCUCAAAAAACUAUGCUUUUUUCUUAUGCAUGUACAAAAAAAAAUAUUGGUACUACCUGGACUAGAUUUAUUAUUCUCUAUUGAUUGUCUCAUUCUAUUGGAGCAUAUUUAUUGCAGUAAAGUAGUAGAGCUGUCACAUCUAUCAUGAUGCGUCAGAGAUCUGUCAGGGCAAUGGCUUUUUUGGAAGUUUGCCUUUUCAGAAGGAUGUAGCUGAGCAUUUCAGGCAGAAGUUUGACAUUUUCAAAAUGAAAAUCAGUCGUCCUUUAUGUGGUGUUUCUCAAACAAAACUUGUGUUGUGAUUGCACAAGUAAUGGUUUAAUAUGUUUGAGGGUACACUCCCCAUGCUGAAUAAUUCGGGUAACAGACUCGAUAUACUCUGUAAUGAACAUAAAUUGCAGAAACGAGAGACAGUCAAGACAGAUGGCAAAUCACACCUUCACCUGCUAUUGUUAGGAAUGUGAAUGUCAAGUCAGGAGCUUAAGUUUUCUUCUGAAGUUAGUUAGGAACUAACGUGUAAAAAUUAAAAUAAACUUGUUGCAAAGUACUAAUUUUCUCCUGUAUAUAGAAGAAAAGAAGCAAGAGCUGUUAAAAUCAGUUGCUAAGAGCAGAAUAAACAAUGACAUUGGCUGGGUACAUUGGAGGAGGGCUUAAACGAAGCUUUUCUGAAACUGAUGGGUAUUGUACUUGAAAAGUAAUCUAAAAAUGGUCAAAUGCUUUAUAUAGUAAUAAAGCAUCUUGUAAGAAGAGGAACUGUGUGCCAGCGCAGGUAAUUGCCAACUUCAUUAGUAUUUGGGUUUGUUAUUAUACAUUAUGUUGUUAAUAAAGGCAAGCCGUAGAUAGAUAAAGGUCGUCCUGGUUGAAAGGACUGUCUACAAACAUAAAUCAGGGAAAAGCAGCAAGGAGCCAUAAACAGGGAAGCACCAGGAGUAGGAUGUUAGGAGAGGGAUG
rnacentral:lncRNA from 7 species